rnacentral:rRNA from 1 species
UACGGAGGAUCCAAGCGUUAUCCGGAUUUAUUGGGUUUAAAGGGUGCGUAGGCGGUAUAGUAAGUCAGUGGUGAAAGCCCGCAGCUCAACUGCGGAACUGCCAUUGAUACUGCUAAACUUGAGUGUGUUUGAUGUGGGCGGAAUGUGCAGUGUAGCGGUGAAAUGCUUAGAUAUUGCACAGAACACCAAUUGCGAAGGCAGCUCACAAAACCACAACUGACGCUGAGGCACGAAAGCGUGGGGAUCAAACAGG